rnacentral:rRNA from 1 species
CAUCGCCUCCUGAUAAACAUAGGAGGUCCAGCCUGCCCAGUGACAACGUUCAACGGCCGCGGUACCCUAACCGUGCGAAGGUAGCAUAAUCACUUGUUCUUUAAAUGGGGACUCGUAUCAAAGGCACCACGAGGACUAUACUGUCUCCCCUCUCCAAUCAGUGAAACUGAUCCCCCCGUGAAGAAGCGGGGAUUCAACUAUAAGACGAGAAGACCCCAUGGAGCUUUAGACUUAAUAUACACCCUUGCACAACAUAACAGUAAAGCUAUUAAGAUAUGUAUAUUGUCUUCGGUUGGGGGGACCGCGGAGUAAAACUUAACCUCCACGACAAACGGGUUAACACCCUUAUCCAAGAAACACAUUUCUAAGAGUCAAUAAAUUGUUGUUUAUGACCCAUUUUAUGAUUAACGAACCAAGUUACCCUGGGGAUAACAGCGCAAUCUACUUCAAGAGCCCCUAUCGACAAGUAGGUUUACGACCUCGAUGUUGGAUCAGGGAAUCCCAGUGGCGCAACCGCUACUAAUGG